UGAGUAACACGUAUCCAACCUGCCGUCUACUCUUGGACAGCCUUCUGAAAGGAAGAUUAAUACAAGAUGGCAUCAUGAGUCCGCAUGUUCACAUGAUUAAAGGUAUUCCGGUAGACGAUGGGGAUGCGUUCCAUUAGAUAGUAGGCGGGGUAACGGCCCACCUAGUCUUCGAUGGAUAGGGGUUCUGAGAGGAAGGUCCCCCACAUUGGAACUGAGACACGGUCCAAACUCCUACGGGAGGCAGCAGUGAGGAAUAUUGGUCAAUGGGCGAGAGCCUGAACCAGCCAAGUAGCGUGAAGGAUGACUGCCCUAUGGGUUGUAAACUUCUUUUAUAAAGGAAUAAAGUCGGGUAUGGAUACCCGUUUGCAUGUACUUUAUGAAUAAGGAUCGGCUAACUCCGUGCCAGCAGCCGCGGUAAUACGGAGGAUCCGAGCGUUAUCCGGAUUUAUUGGGUUUAAAGGGAGCGUAGAUGGAUGUUUAAGUCAGUUGUGAAAGUUUGCGGCUCAACCGUAAAAUUGCAGUUGAUACUGGAUAUCUUGAGUGCAGUUGAGGCAGGCGGAAUUCGUGGUGUAGCGGUGAAAUGCUUAGAUAUCACGA
rnacentral:rRNA from 1 species